rnacentral:rRNA from 2 species
UGCCCUAGUAACGGCGAGUGAAGCGGCAACAGCUCAAAUUUGAAAUCUGGCUCUCGGGCCCGAGUUGUAAUUUGUAGAGGAUGCUUUUGAUGCGGUGCCUUCCGAGUUCCCUGGAACGGGACGCCAUAGAGGGUGAGAGCCCCGUCUGGUUGGAUGCCAAAUCUCUGUAAAGCUCCUUCGACGAGUCGAGUAGUUUGGGAAUGCUGCUCUAAAUGGGAGGUAUAUGUCUUCUAAAGCUAAAUACCGGCCAGAGACCGAUAGCGCACAAGUAGAGUGAUCGAAAGAUGAAAAGCACUUUGAAAAGAGAGUUAAAAAGUACGUGAAAUUGUUGAAAGGGAAGCGUUUAUGACCAGACUUGGGCUUGGUUAAUCAUCUGGGGUUCUCUCCAGUGCACUUUUCCAGUCCAGGCCAGCAUCAGUUUUCGCCGGGGGAUAAAGGCUUCGGGAAUGUGGCUCUCUCCGGGGAGUGUUAUAGCCCGUUGCGUAAUACCCUGGCGGGGACUGAGGUUCGCGCAUCUGCAAGGAUGCUGGCGUAAUGGUCAUCAACGACCCGUCUUGAAACACGGACCAAGGAGUCGUCUUCGUAUGCGAGUGUUCGGGUGUCAAACCCCUACGCGUAAUGAAAGUGAACGCAGGUGAGAGCUUCGGCGCAUCAUCGACCGAUCCUGAUGUUCUCGGAUGGAUUUGAGUAAGAGCAUACGGGGCCGGACCCGAAAGAAGGUGAACUAUGCCUGUGUAGGGUGAAGCCAGAGGAAACUCUGGUGGAGGCUCGCAGCGGUUCUGACGUGCAAAUCGAUCGUCAAACAUGGGCAUGGGGGCGAAAGACUAAUCGAACCUUCUAGUAGCUGGUUUCCGCCGAAGUUUCCCUCAGGAUAGCAGUGUUGAACUCAGUUUUAUGAGGUAAAGCGAAUGAUUAGGGACUC